AGAGGGGGAGGAGACAGAGCAGCCCGGUGCGGUAAGCUGGCCUUGUAGCUGCCUGCCAGGCCUUGCGCUCACCCCAGACUGCCAGAGAGUCCAGACUGGCCCCAAGUGAUAAGGCCCUAGGCUGGGACGCGGCCACUGCAAUGGAAAAGCAGGAGGAACAGGAGAACUUGGAAACUAAUUUGAUACGGGGAUGAGGGAGAGAAAGGAGCCCAAGAUGACCUCUAAAGAUCCCUGGAGAACGGGGACAGGUGCCGGAGCGCAAGCCCAGCAGAGGCCUCAGCCCAGUGCCAAGUUAGUUUGCUCUAUUGUUUCAAUAGUCUGUCUUCACUCCCGUCUUCAGAAAGCGUUUCCCCGUCUUCCAGUUUUUCAUCUAUUCAGGCUUACAUUCAGCUCCUAAUCUUCUACCGCUCAGCUCUUAACUUAAGCUGAGUCCAGACAGGAUCAGUACAAACAGGGGCACCGCCUGGGUCAGACUCUCCCUCGGAACCCCUGCAGAGCACUUAGCUGCACUCAGAACCUCCCUGACUUCAAUUCCCUCACUACAAGCAGUUGUAUAAUUUCCAGGACAGCUGCAGAGGAGCCAAGGACAUAAUAAGCACCGGAAAGCGUCUGGUAGCAGGCCUCAGUGGCAGAUGAGCUUGGAACUUCUGACAGUGCUUGGAGACAAGUGGCCUCUAACGCCUGCAUUGUGGUUCUCUUAAGAGGCCUGGGCUUCACUGUGUGUAGAGGAAGACGGGAGGCUUUGCAUUGAAGACCAGAGUGGAGAGGAUGGCACAGAUAAAGGUCAACCAACUGCAGAUGAAGGCCUACCUAGAAGGGUCUGCGCAGGACAGGCAGAGUCCCUCCAGAUCUGAAGACUAUGCAGCCAGCUAGCACCAGGCCUACACCAGGGGACAAGACCAAGAAUGAAGAGACCAAGGCUCCCUGCAGAUCACAUGGCCGAUUCUCAUUGCUUCCAACCUUGGCUGCCUGGAAGAACCUUAUCUCUACAUAGAUACAGCCAGUGAGUCUACACUAGACAAGGCAACCAGAGACCAAAGAGAAGAAAAGGCAGAGCGGGGACAUCCGGAGACAAGAGAGAAGCAACAGCUGUUGGCUUGGAAUACCACAGAAAGAAACUUGAGGUAGCGGCUUGCCAGUCGGCUACUGUGAAACCAGAGGCAUGGUAUCUUUUCUGCCACUAGCCUGGCAGGCAUUGACAGGGAGGUUGGCCUUGGCAGUGAGGGAGCAUCCCCAAUCCCAGUAGCCUGGGGCAAUCUCUUUCUGGAAGACAGCGGCUUCCUUGCUUUUGCUGGCUCUUCCAGUUCACCAUCACCUGAGAGUUUCCGGCUGUGAACACAGCCUGCCAAGGGGCAAGCUGAAGGAAACAGACUGCAUGAGAAAAUGGGGAACCUGUCAGGGUAGAAGCAAGCUUCCUGCAGCCCCAUGGCACGGUUCUCCAGUUUGGGUUGCCUCUCAUUUUGGCAUGGAUUUGAGGAGAUGUGUUCUAAAGUUUCUGGAGAAAAUUAGAAGGAUUGCAAGUAAAGUUGGGUAGUGCUCUAUGAAAAGGCCUGGAACAUUCCACAUUUGGAUUCUUAUAUGUCUUCUUUUUGGGAGGGGGCAUUUAAAACAGGGUUUCUCUGUCCUGGAACUCACUCUGUAGACCAGGCUGUCUUCAAUCUCAGAAAUCUGCCUGCCUUUGGCCCCUCUGUCCCCUAGUACUCAGAUUAAAGGCGUGCGCCAUCAACACCCA
rnacentral:lncRNA from 1 species